AUGACGCAAGGCAGAUUUCGGUAAAUCCAUGCGGAAGAUCAACUAAGGUUGACGGGGAUUUAUUGGAGAGUUGCGGAUGUAUUUUAAGUGGGCACGUUAAUAUGUCACAAAUCCCGUGACCACCGGGAAUGAGUGCGAUCUCAUAAAAGAGGCUGAGAAAGCUAGCAUACCGCCUUUCCUACUGUUUUUCAGCAAAUAUAAACGUAAACAUGACACUUGAUAAAGGGUGUUGCGCCUCUAUCUGUCAGAGUUUUUUCGAAUACGAGACCCCUAAAAUUCUAGUGAUAAGAAGCAAAAGAGUGGGAACAGUCAACAGGUUGAUCCAGGCAGUCAUCAUUGCUUAUGUGAUCGGGUACGUCUGCGUGCUGAAGAGGGGCUACCAAGACACAGACUCCGUCAUCAGCUCGGUCACCACCAAGGUGAAGGGCGUCGCCCUCACCAACACAUCUGACCUGGGCCUUCGCGUUUGGGAUGUGGCGGAUUACAUCAUACCCCCUCAGGUAGCACCCACAUCUGAGGAGGAGGAGGAGAGUUCCUUCUUUGUGCUAACAAACAUGAUCGUCACCGCUAACCAAACGCAGUCACGCUGCCCUGAGGUCCCCGGGCCAAACUCCAACUGUUCGUCGGACAGAGACUGCAUCCCAGGUCUCAAGGACGUGCGGGGAAAUGGUGUGCAGACAGGUAACUGUGUGAAUUACUCAGACUCUGUAAAGACUUGCGAAGUCCUGGCUUGGUGUCCCUUGGAAGUGAACGUGGAUCCACCUGUUCCUCCCAUGCUGGCAGAUGCUGAAAACUUCACUGUGCUGAUUAAGAACAACAUCCGCUACCCCAAGUUCAACUUCAACAAGAGGAACAUCCUGCCCCACAUCAAUAAGACCUACCUGACGCACUGCAUAUUCAACGCCACCACUGACCCGGACUGCCCCAUCUUUUCUCUCAAGUACAUCGUCUCUGCCGCACAGGAGGACUUUCAGACAAUGGCGGUGAUGGGCGGAGUCAUGGGGAUUCAGAUCCGGUGGGACUGUGACCUGGACAUGCCGGCCAGCUGGUGCAAGCCCCGGUACACCUUCCGGCGGCUGGACAACAAGGACCCCGAAAACAACGUGGCCCCAGGGUACAACUUCAGGUUUGCAAAAUACUACAGGACUGCCGAUGACGUGGAGGUGAGAACAUUGAUCAAAGGGUUCGGGAUUCGCUUCGAUGUCAUGGUUUUUGGCAAGGCGGGGAAGUUCAGCAUUGUGCCGAUGCUGCUGAACAUUGGUGCUGGGCUCGCUCUCCUCGGGCUGAUAUGAGCUGAGCCAGAUCAUGCUCUCGGGGACCAGGGCUAACUGGUAGAGCAGUUACUUGUGUGAAAUUGCUUGGCUAGGUUACGAUUGUCUGUGAUUGGGUUGUCCUCACCUUUAUGAAGAAAAGGCACCAGUAUAAAGAAGAGAAAUUCUCUUAUGUGGAUGACUAUGGACUGCUUUCUGAAACGGCAGAAUGAGAAUGAGACGGGCAGGUCCCACUGCGAGAGCUCACAUUGAGAUCGGCAGGAGGACCUGUGGAAGAGGAGGGGCCUCCACUGGACACCGAAACCCACACUCCACCCAUGCCCCGCCCACCCUGUCCAGUAUUCUGCACAAACCCCCACCCCCCCUCUCAAGCCAGUAAACUGAUUCUUUGUCUGCAUCUAACAAUUAAACCAUUUGACCUCUGAACUGUGA